rnacentral:lncRNA from 1 species
GAGAAACCUGGGUCUGCCUGGGAAUCUUCCCUUGAGAAUCCUCCUCUCUAAUGCACAGCCAUGCCAUUCUUGUGUCUGCACCAUCCUCAGUACCCGGCGCCAAAGACCCAUAGGGCAGUGAGACUGGUACGUUCAGUAUUCAGGCAUGUAGAGGGGGCAUCCAUCCCUUCUAGUUAACCCCUCUCUCCUCAAGCACUCACGUCCUUCACUACAGCCAACGCCAUCCUAGGACUCCCCAACUGAAGCAGUGGGCUAUGUUGGGACCCCGGCCUUCUGCUUUUUCCCAGAAAUAGACACCUGCUACCUUUAGCAAACCUCCAGGCUGUGGGAACUGCAAGGAGGAGGGAGCCAUUCCUGACACCCUCCAUCUGUACCCUCGCCAUUACUCAUUAGGCAUUCUGCCCCCUCCUUCCGCUCGUUAAGCCUUAUUUGCAUAUAUUUGCAUAAUACAGUUCAUUUGCAUUGCAGGAGGCUCAUGGUAGAAGCCAGGAAAAAAAAGAGGUGGGGGGGUGGAGAAGAGAAAAAGGGAGAGAUUUUGUUUUCAUCAAAGUGUGGGGGGAGAGCUGGGGGGGAGGCAGGAAGAGGAUGGAAAUAAAACUCAUACUACUUUCUUUCUUCCCUCCGCCCUCUCUCCCCGAGUUGGACUGAAAUGCCAAAGAGAGGUGCCAAGGGUCUGCCUUUUCUGUCCUUUUUUUUGUCUUGCUUCCUCCGGCCUUGGCUCUUCAGUCAGGGGGCCCCCCACCUUGUUGGAAUCAGGCUUCAGAAAGAAAGCUGGGUAGGAUGUGAGGCUGUGAGAAUGGAAACAUAGGAAGGGAAGAGGGAAGCCGCCAUCUUAGGUAGCUAGUGUUUAUAAAAUGGCCGCUUCUGAGAGAUGUGGGCUGAGUGCCAGGCAGGGUGGUGGGCACGAAGGAGAAUGACAACAGAAGGAAGGGUUUCCCAGCUGACCAAGAACAGACCUGAAUAUCACUAUCAGUGGGAUUAGAAAGGGAGGCGGAUGGGGGGGGGUCUCCCAGAAGAGUUCUAGGGUUCAGCAUCUAAGCAGGGUAGUAGAAGCCUCAUCCCUGUGUACAGAUCCCAGAGGACUCAAGGCUAUGGGUGAUGUCGAAGGUGCGGAAGAAUCAAGUUGGAAAGACCAGCAGGAGACAGACAGAGUAAGGUAUGGUCAGGCGGGAUCAUCUGCCAGCUGGAGGUCUCAGGACUGUGGAAAACCAUGUAUUCUAGCAGUAUAUUCUCUGGCCCAGCCGACCAUUACUAUCUUCAUAACGCUUAUGAAACUGUGCCUUCUCUAAGGCCAUUCACAGCUCUCGACUGGGCUAUCCUUCUUUGCCCUCUGUGCAUAAUUUCAUGCUUAUUUGAUCUCCCCAACCUCUGCACUGACCUGGCUUCUUGUGUUAUAUCCUAAACAACUUGUUCUUGGUUUCAUCCACUCAGUUCUCUGGAUCAGCCAGCUUCACACAGAAGUGACAGCACUUCUGAAAUCCCCUCUUAGUCACUUUUGUAACUUCAACCUCUGCUAAAGGUAGACACUCACUCUAUAGACCAGGCCUUGAGCUCAAAGAUCCACCUGCCUCUGCCCCCUGGCCCCCUCCACCUCCCCACGAGUGCUGGGACUAAAGGUGUGAACCACCACCACCACCACCACCACCACCCAGCUCCCUUGUUUUCUUAACAUUGAUCUAUUUAUAACUAGAGUGAGCAAAGCAGUGGUGGUGCACAACUUUAAUCCCACCACUCAGGAGGCAGAGGCAGGUGGAGCUCUGUGAUUUCGAGGCCAGCCUGGUCUACAAUAUGAGUUCCAGGACAGCCAGGGAUACACAGAGAAACCCUGCCUCAAAAAGAAAAUCAAAUAAACCCCCACAGAGUUACACCUUAUCCACUGCCCAAUGUCCUGCCAUUGGUUCCCAGACCAGAGCCUAGAGCCUGAAAUGGUCAUAUGCUCAGGCCCCAUUGCAAAGGACAGUGGGAAGGCACCUGCUUGUCUAACCUCUGGGGUGGCAAAGCUCGGGAGGGACUCCUCCUUAGGCAGCAGAGAUGCUCACUGGUGUGGGCUGUGCACACUCUGGUUUUCUUUCCUCUAAACUUGUGGGCCCCCAGGUUCAAGCUUUUAAUUUUCAGGUUUGCAUAUCUAUAAGUGCCUCCGUGUAUCUAUGUGGACCACAUGUAUGCCUGGUGCCUGUGGAAAUGAGAAGAAAGCAUUGAAUCCCCUCAAAAAGUGUUCUUAACCCCUUAGCCAUCUCUCCAGCCCCAGGUUCAAAUCCUGAGCACCGUCUGAACUAGUCCUGUGUCCAAGACAGUAUCAUCAAACCCUGCCCUUCCCGCCUUGUGCCAGCUCGCGCUUUUUCUUACAUCUGUAUGUUGAUGCUUAGCAGGUUCCUUGAAUGCUUGGUUUAUGUGCCUGGCUGGAGGAGACACCCAUGGCCUUGCAGAGGGAGCGUUCUGGUGGGAAAGCAGACACAACCCACCCUAGGCCCGUGGUUUCCCUGCAAGAAGCCCAGUGGCUUUCUGGAGGACACUUUUCCUGGAGGAAGUGACUCAAGGUAUUCAGGGGGUUGGGUAGGGGAAAUAUCAAGGAAGUAAGAAAGAACAUGGUAUAUGUGGGGACUUGCCUGACCCUCCAAAGAAGUGGAGCCUUAGAUGCUGAAGCAGAGAAACUGGCUUAAUGGCCUGGGGUUUAAGGAAGUCAGCCAUGAGUUAGCUCAGAGAUGCUAGGACGUGGCACCCGGCUGGGUGGUGCUUCGUAAUGUGUAGGAGGCUCACGUGUAUGCAACCUACUGGCUUCUCACAUUAGAAGCAAAAAGGUUUGAAGAAGUUAAGUACUGCAAGGCCAAUUGGUACUAGAAUGGAGACAGAGAGGAAGUUCUACUUAGAAACUUUCUAGAAGAAGAAAGGGGAUAAUGAGAGCAAGGAGAGAGAUCCAGGGCUUAGUCUGAGGGGAUUCUGUGAGAGCAACUGAGGUAGGGAGAAGAGCCGUGUGCGUGCUGGUCCCGAGGCUGCAAUGUAAGCAACAUGCCAAGCUUUACACAAAGGCUUCUCUGUAAGAGGCCUUGGCAGUGGCUGUCAGGUGAGGGGACUUAGCUCUCAGGGCCUUCAGGGCAUUGGGGGUAGGGCUGGAGGUGGCCUCAGACUUCCAGCAGGUCCACAUCAAAAGAAAGACUCUAAGCCUGGCUAGAACUCCCACAGAGGCUAUAUAGAGCUGGUUCCAGGCCAGGCUCCUGCCCACUGCCCAGUCAGGCCGCCAGGUCUAGGCUCAGCCUCUGCCCACCUCCUAUUCUUCCAGCUGUGCCCCCUGCACCUUCUAGCAUCUCCUUUUUCAGCCCACACAUGCCCUCCCAGGUUAUGGGUCUGGUCUCACUGGGCCCGAGCAAGUACCACAGGGAACCUCUUACACUGAGGACUGUAUUGGGAAGGAGAGAAACCACUGACCAGAAGCAAAAAGGUGUCUCGGGAGGAAGGGGGUCACUGUUUCAAGCACUCUGCUCUCCAUCUUCUUCAGCACAAGUUCUUGGUGGCCUCAAUUCACGGUCUCUUCCUGUUGAUCAGCAGUGGGCAGAGACCACCUCCCUCAUUGCCGCUUUGGGUUUGGACCGCUUUAAACAGUAAAGUGACUGUCGACGGCUCAGUCUACAGGGAGGAGAACAAAAGACAGGGUCAGGGCUGGGCAGACUGGACAGG